rnacentral:piRNA from 1 species
AGCCCUCAGACUGAAAGGUACUAGAGC